rnacentral:tRNA from 1 species
UAAAGAUUUUAAGUUAAUUAAUAAAACUAUUAAUCUUCAAAAUUAAAAAUAUAAAUAUUAAAUCUUA